GCUGUAGCUCAGUGAUGGAGCACCUACUCUGCAUGCAGUAAGUCCUAGGUUCAACCCCUGGCAUCUCCA